rnacentral:rRNA from 1 species
UACGUAGGGUGCGAGCGUUAAUCGGAAUUACUGGGCGUAAAGCGUGCGCAGGCGGUUUUGUAAGCCAGAUGUGAAAGCCCCGGGCUCAACCUGGGAAUGGCAUUUGGGACUGCAAGGCUUGAGUGCGGCAGAGGAGACUGGAAUUCCUGGUGUAGCGGUGAAAUGCGCAGAUAUCAGGAGGAACACCGGUGGCGAAGGCGGAUCUCUGGGCCGAUACUGACGCUGAGGAGCGAAAGCGUGGGGAGCGAACAGG